CCUUUGUUGCCAGCGGUUCGGCCGGGGAACGUCAAAGGAGACUGCCAGUGAUAAACUGGAGGAAGGUGGGGAGUGUCGUCAAGUCAUCAUGGCCCUUACGAGUAGGGCUACACACGUGCUACAAUGGCAUAUACAAAGAGAAGCGACCUCGCGAGAGCAAGCGGACCUCAUAAAGUAUGUCGUAGUCCGGAUUGGAGUCUGCAACUCGACUCCAUGAAGUCGGAAUCGCUAGUAAUCGUAGAUCAGAAUGCUACGGUGAAUACGUUCCCGGGCCUU
rnacentral:rRNA from 1 species